GAUGAACGCUGGCGGCGUGCCUAAUACAUGCAAGUCGAGCGAACAGACGAGGAGCUUGCUCCUCUGACGUUAGCGGCGGACGGGUGAGUAACACGUGGAUAACCUACCUAUUAGACUGGGAUAACGUCGGGAAACCGGAGCUAAUACCGGAUAAUAUAUUGAACCGCAUGGUUCAAUAGUUUUAGUCGGGUUGGCUGUCACCUCUACAUGGAUCCGUGCCGCAUUAGCUAUUUGGUAAGGUAACGGCUUACCAAGGCAACGAUGCGUAGCCGACCUGAGAGGGUGAUCGGCCACACUGGAACUGAAACACGGUCCAGACUCCUACGGGAGGCAGCAGUAGGGAAUCUUCCGAAAAGGGCGAAAGCCUGACGGAGCAACGCCGGGUGGGUGAUGAAGGUCUUCGGAUCGUAAAACUCUGUUAUUGGGGAAGAACAAAUGUGUAAGUAACUAUGCACGUCUUGACGGUACCUAAUCAGAAAGCCACGGCUAACUACGUG
rnacentral:rRNA from 1 species